rnacentral:rRNA from 1 species
UAAUACGAAGGGGGCUAGCGUUGUUCGGAUUUACUGGGCGUAAAGCGCGUGUAGGCGGGCCGUUAAGUUGGGGGUGAAAGCCCGAGGCUCAACCUCGGAAUUGCCUUCAAAACUGGCGGCCUGGAGCAGAUGAGAGGCGAGUGGAAUUCCGAGUGUAGAGGUGAAAUUCGUAGAUAUUCGGAGGAACACCAGUGGCGAAGGCGACUCGCUGGCAUCUUGCUGACGCUGAGACGCGAAAGCGUGGGGAGCAAACAGGAUUAGAUACCCUGGUAGUCCACGCUGUAAACGAUGAGAGCUAGUUGUCGGCACGCAUGCGUGUCGGUGACGCAGCUAACGCAUUAAGCUCUCCGCCUGGGGAGUACGGCCGCAAGGUUA